CUGCUCGGCGCCGACACCCAGG
rnacentral:misc_RNA from 1 species